AUUGAACGCUGGCGGCAGGCCUAACACAUGCAAGUCGAACGAGUGGCGGACGGGUGAGUAAUGUCUGGGAAACUGCCUGAUGGAGGGGGAUAACUACUGGAAACGGUAGCUAAUCCCGCAUACCAUCAGAUGUGCCCAGAUGGGAUUAGCUUGUUGGUGGGGUAACGGCUCACAAAGGCGACGAUCACUAGCUGGUCUGAGAGGAGGACCAGCCACACGGGAACUGAGAAACGGUCCAGACUCCUACGGGAGGCAGCAGUGGGGAAUAUUGCACAAUGGGCGAAAGCCUGAUGCAGCCAUGCCGCGUGUAUGAAGAAGGCCUUCGGGUGGUAAAGUACGUUCAUCGGGGAGGCGUUACCCGAAGAAGAAGCACCGGCUAACUCCGUGCCAGCAGCCGCGGUAAUAC
rnacentral:rRNA from 1 species